rnacentral:rRNA from 1 species
AUUGAACGCUGGCGGCAGGCCUAACACAUGCAAGUCGAGCGGGGUUUUCGGACCUAGCGGCGGACGGGUGAGUAAUGCGUAGGAAGCUACCCGAUAGAGGGGGAUACCAGCUGGAAACGACUGUUAAUACCGAAUAAUGUCUACGGACCAAAGUGUGGGACCUUCGGGCCACAUGCUAUCGGAUGCGCCUACGUGGGAUUAGCUAGUUGGUGAGGUAAUGGCUCACCAAGGCGACGAUCCCUAGCUGGUUUGAGAGGAUGAUCAGCCACACUGGAACUGAGACACGGUCCAGACUCCUACGGGAGGCAGCAGUGGGGAAUAUUGGACAAUGGGCGCAAGCCUGAUCCAGCCAUGCCGCGUGUGUGAAGAAGGCCUUCGGGUUGUAAAGCACUUUCAGUAGGGAGGAAGGGUGUUGUGUUAAUAGCACAGCAUUUUGACGUUACCUACAGAAGAAGCACCGGCUAACUCUGUGCCAGCCGCCGCCGUAA